CCUGGGGCCACCUGGCCUGGCAGAGCGUGUGGCGCUGGCUCCCCUGUGCGUGCCUUGGUGGGAUCCUGGCGGAAGGCCGGGGUCCCCCAGGACUGGGGCCACCCUCCCUGCCCUGGCACGCCAUGGGUGCCCUGCCUGCCGGGGGAUCCUGCCCGGCCCUUGGUACCCCACUGCCAGGGUGCCCCCAGCUGCCCCCCUCUCCAGGGCAUCCCCACGGCCCUGCCCCCAGGGAGGGAGGCCCAGCACCCACCUCCCCGCUGGACCCGUGGCCUCAAGAAGGCUCCUCAGCUUCAUCUCCGCUUGCUUCACACAGGAGAAGGCUUGCUCUUCACUCUGCUGCUGGCUGUGGAGUUUGUCCAGAGAUGCCUCAGCACGGCCAUCUCCAGCCUGAGAGAGACUGUCGCUGUGAACAGGAAGAGGCUCGUGGCGAUCCUCUUGGUGAUGAGCCUGGCUGCUCUCGCUGCUGCCUGCUGGGGAAUCGUGCAGCUGACGUGGAGGCAGCGGGCAGAGGAUGUGCUGCAGAUUGGCUUUUCUGGUGGCCGCGUGGAACAAUCUCCCUGUCUGAGGAACGAGGUCGUGUGCCUGGCUGAUGAGAUGGACACCAUGAAGAAAGCGAUGCUGCAGCCGGACGAUUUCCCGACCUGCUGCUGGCCCUUCCAAGAGUCUGGGAGCGAGGUGCUGAGCUGGUUACCGGCACAAAUACCUCUGCAGGCCGUCAGUGUGCAGCAGAGCUCCGAGAGAGCCUCUCCGCUGGGGACUGCCAUCAGCGCCCGCCGAGAUGUUGCUGUCUGUGGCCUGGAUGAGGAAGGCGAGGAGGCAACUCUGCUGGGGACGUGGAGCUGCAGCAGGCAGGAGAAGCCCCACCAGAGCUUGCCUCUGCAGAAUGGGAUCCCCGGCGCCUUUCAGCUCACAAAUCCUGGCAAUUGGAGCAGCUCGGGAACCCCAGCACAGAGGCUGAUAGAUCGGGUGCUGGCGAUGGGGAAGAUGGUGGGAAGAUGGUGGGCGUCAUUAGACCUGUUUUCUUCAAUAAAAUUUCCCGUGUAAAAAGGAGACUCAGGCCAGAGGGAUGCGGCUGUUGGUCUGGUGCAGAGCAAGGUGGUCUCAGAGGCCCUCUCCGAGCUGCCAGCUCCUGCCUUUCGCAGGCAGAGGCCUUCCUCAGGCUUUGCGCUUUCAUCCACCAAGGGCAUCUUUCCUGACCCGGCAAAAGGAGACGACGCUCCUGAAGCCUUUCCCUGCCUCAGGUCCUUGGCAAAAUCCUUUGUCACCAGGGUCGCCUCUGGCCCCUGUAAGGAGUCGUCGGAGCCUGUCAGCAUCUGGGGCUCCUGAUGGCCAGGCUCUGGCCCAUUCCCUUCAGGGAACACGUUGGAUCUGGGGACUGGGUCUAGUGGGGACCCACAUGGUGCAGCCACGUCUGGGACAUGCCUCCAGGAAAGGAUGGAGAUUCUCCUUUGCCCUCCUUUUGUUGCUACUCUAUCUAGACAGACAUUUUCUGGUGCUUUUUACAGCAGUAGCCAGAUGAAGUUCUAGCUGGGCUUUGGCGCUUCUCAUUUUCUCUUGGCGUAACCUCAGAAGUCCUUCAAAGCCCGGAAGCUCUCCUUUUGUCCCCUCCCCUGACUGCCAGCCAAAGCUCUCUGGUCAGCCAGGCCGGUCUUCUUCCCUGCCACCUUGUCUUUGGGCACAUGGCAAUAGCCUGCUCCCGCGCCAUGAAGAUCUCCUUGUCAGAAGCACCUGCAUUUGGUCAAGAGCUCUGCCAAAGGGCACCAAAGAAGCCAUCAGGAGGAUGGCAUGGUCGCACCCGCCACCAUGUUCCGCUCUGCCACACUGUGCUCAGGGGAGAGCAGGACGCAGUCUCGGGGGGAACAGGCCAGUCCCUCUCCAGGCACUGCCCCAGCUGGGUCCUGGCCAGGCAUGGCAGGGCCUGGAGAGACACAAAAUGUCUGGGUGCCACUGAAGGUCCCAGGCGGGGAGAAGGCCUUGGAGCAGUGGCCAG
rnacentral:lncRNA from 1 species